rnacentral:rRNA from 1 species
AAUGAACGUUGGCGGCAUGGAUUAGGCAUGCAAGUCGAGCGAGAAUUUCUAGUUUGAAGCUUCGGUUGAUUUCUAGAAAGGACAGCGGCGAAAGGGUGAGUAACGCGUAGUUACAUGCCUCAGGGUCUGGAAUAGCCUCGGGAAACUGAGGGUAAUGCCAGAUAAUAUCUCCGGAUCAAAGGUGAGAUUCCGCCCUGAGAGUGGACUGCGUCCUACUAGCUUGUUGGUGGGGUAAUGGCCUACCAAGGCUCAGAUGGGUAGCGGGCGUGAGAGCGUGGCCCGUCACACUGGGACUGAGACACUGCCCAGACACCUACGGGUGGCUGCAGUCGAGAAUCUUCGGCAAUGCGCGAAAGCGUGACCGAGCAAUGCCGCGUGCGGGAUGAAGGCCUUCGGGUUGUAAACCGCUGUCAGUUGGGAGGAAGGGUCCGUGAAGAGCGGAUCUUGACCUAUCUUCAGAGGAAGUACGGGCUAAGUACG